rnacentral:rRNA from 1 species
GACGAACGCUGGUGGCGUGCUUAACACAUGCAAGUCGAACGAUGAAACCUAGCUUGCUAGGUCGAUUAGUGGCGAACGGGUGAGUAACACGUGACUAACCUGCCCCUUUCUCUGGGAUAACGCUCCGAAAGGAGUGCUAAUACCGGAUACUCACACCGAGGCACAUGCCUUGGUGUGGAAAGUUUUUCGGAAAGGGAUGGAGUCGCGGCCUAUCAGCUUGUUGGUGAGGUAACGGCUCACCAAGGCGACGACGGGUAGCCGGCCUGAGAGGGCGACCGGCCACACUGGGACUGAGACACGGCCCAGACUCCUACGGGAGGCAGCAGUGGGGAAUAUUGCACAAUGGGCGCAAGCCUGAUGCAGCGACGCCGCGUGAGGGAUGAAGGUCUUCGGAUUGUAAACCUCUUUCAGUAGGGACGGAGCGAAAGUGACGGUACCUAAAGAAGAAGCACCGGCUAACUACGUGCCAGCAGCCGCAGUAA